GCUCCCUGGGCCCAGCACUCGCCAACUGCGUGGGCACAGAAGAGGGUGCAGCUUUGCGAGGGCUUGGGUGUUUCUCCUGAUGAGCAGACUCACGCUCCAGGGACACUGGGGAGUCCUGGUACGAAGCAACGUGCACGUCACAAGGAGCAGAGAACACAACUGGAGCCGGGCUCCCACCCAGCAAUUCCCAAGCAAUGUGAGAAAAGCUCUGAGUGACACAGGAUGCAGCCCCGAGCCCAGACAGCACAGUGAGGGGCAGGAGACAUUAGACAGCUUGAAAUACAGAUGAGAGAGAGGGGUCAGGAUCAAAACAACCCAAUCAGUAAAUACGGCAGAUUAAAGAUACUGCACCAGACCCUCGCUGCUGCACAGCGACCCAGCUUCACUGACGUCAAAGGAACUACGCUGACCUACCCCUGCUGAGGGGCUGAUCCAUGGAUUGAAUACAGUAUCACCUGACUGGCCAAUCCAUGGCCAACAGGCAGCACUUGACUGGAACUGGAGUCAUGGACAGGAACGGGAAAUGCUAUGGUGAUGAGGCCAGUUCACAGGGACACACGACACUGGCAGGUGGUGAUGUGAGACACAGGGUGGGGGACAGAGGCAGGGAUCGCGGUGCAGUGCUGCGAGGCGGGGGUUCAGAGAGCUUUAACGAGGGGGGGGGGAACAGCACCAGGUGCACCUUACCACUGCCCUGGCCUGUGCCAUCUGCAGAGCCUCGCCAGCAGCAACACUCAGGGGUUCCUCUUGGUGCCCAACCACCUCUGCAGGGAGCGUGGGGUCGGAGUGCAGCAGGCUGGUGUCGUACAGAUUCUGCUCAACAGCGUCGACAGUGCAUUCAACUUCGAAAGCCCUGUGGAUCGGAGAGGUGUCAGGGAUGGGGACAGCGGGCUGGUAUUUUAAGUGAAAGCCACCAUCUUGGUCCUUCCAUCAGCGACUCACCAUGUUCACAGCCUUGCAAUCCAGGUAGCAGAGCUCCUCCGCCUGCCAAUCAUAACCCAUCUCCCCCCCUGCUUCCACUGAAAAAUGUUGCCCGAAGGGCAUCAGAGGGGUCUGAUUCGAUUGCAGGGUAA
rnacentral:lncRNA from 1 species